AACCAUCUUCUCAAUCUCCUCCUUUGAGAGUCUGCCCUUGUCAUUAGUGAUGGUUAUCUUGUUCUUCUGUCCGGUGGUCUUAUCCUCAGCAGAGACAUUUAAGAUACCAUUCGCAUCAAUGUCGAAGCACACUGUGAUUUGAGGAACUCCCCUGGGGGCAGGAGGGAUACCGGAAAGCUCAAAUUUGCCAAGCAAGUUGUUGUCCCUGGUCCUUGUUCUCUCACCUUCAUACACUUGAAUCAACACACCAGGCUGGUUGUCAGAGUAGGUUGAGAAGACCUGCUCCUUCUUGGUUGGGAUAGUCGUGUUUCUGGGAAUCAACACAGUCAUGACACCACCAGCUGUCUCCAGACCAAGGGAAAGAGGGGUAACAUCCAACAGCAAAAGGUCCUGCACCUUCUCA
rnacentral:misc_RNA from 1 species